AACGAACGCUGGCGGCAGGCCUAACACAUGCAAGUCGAGCGCUCUCUUCGGAGAGAGCGGCAGACGGGUGAGUAACGCGUGGGAACCUACCUUUUGGUACGGAAUAACUCAGGGAAACUUGUGCUAAUACCGUAUGUGCCCUUCGGGGGAAAGAUUUAUCGCCAAAAGAUGGGCCCGCGUUGGAUUAGCUUGUUGGUGGGGUAACGGCCCACCAAGGCGACGAUCCAUAGCUGGUCUGAGAGGACGAUCAGCCACACUGGGACUGAGACACGGCCCAGACUCCUACGGGAGGCAGCAGUGGGGAAUCUUGCACAAUGGGCGAAAGCCUGAUGCAGCCAUGCCGCGUGAGUGAAGAAGGCCUUAGGGUUGUAAAGCUCUUUCGCCAGGGAAGAUAAUGACUGUACCUGGUAAAGAAGCCCCGGCUAACUCCGUGCCAGCAGCCGCGGUAAUACGGAGGGGGCUAGCGUUGUUCGGAAUUACUGGGCGUAAAGCGCACGUAGGCGGAUUAGUCAGUUGGAGGUGAAAUCCCGGAGCUCAACUCCGGAAUUGCCUUCAAUACUGCUAGUCUUGAGUCCGAGAGAGGGUGGUGGAAUUCCCAGUGUAGAGGUGAAAUUCGUAGAUAUUGGGAAGAACACCAGUGGCGAAGGCGGCCACCUGGCUCGGUACUG
rnacentral:rRNA from 1 species